AGGGAUUUAGCUUAGUGGUACAGUCGCCUGCCUCACAAGCGGGAGGUCCUGAGUUCAAUCCCCAGUACCCCCC
rnacentral:tRNA from 1 species